GUGCCAGCCGCUGCGGUGAUACGUAGGGUGCGAGCGUUGUCCGGAAUUAUUGGGCGUAAAGAGCUUGUAGGCGGUCUGUCGCGUCGGAAAGUGAAAACUCAGGGCUUAACUCUGAGCCUGCUUUCGAUACGGGCAGACUUGAGGGAUGUAGGGGAGAACGGAAUUCCUGGUGGAGCGGUGGAAUGCGCAGAUAUCAGGAGGAACACCAGUGGCGAAGGCGGUUCUCUGGACAUUUCCUGACGCUGAG
rnacentral:rRNA from 1 species